rnacentral:other from 1 species
UCAUCCCUGCGAUGCCCGUGAUGGUGAGUGGAAAUUGAGCUAACGUUGAUUGAAUCGGGGACCUGAGUCCGCCAGUGGUGUGCGGUUCCCUCGUCGGAAACGCCUGAAGCUGGAGGCAGGGUUCCCACACUGCUAUGAGCGGGGUUCAAUCACACGAGCCACACGGCAGAGCGGGGAAUUC